ACUAAGAUCAAACAGCUCCCCAAACCCUAUAAAAGCCUCCUUUUCUUUGCUGCUCCCAAUUGAAAGAAAAUCCUAGUAGAAGGGAGAGGCAGCGUGACGAAAGAUCGAGCGGGAGAGAGGAGAAAGGCGGCUCUGUGCGACCGAUCGGGAGGCAAAGACAGAUUUACCACUAUGGAUGAGAGAACGCAGGAGAUUCGUGUGCGUGUCGUGAACUGAGGUCGCCCCCAAUACGUGGCAGGGAGGGCUGGCAGCUGUGAUGCGGUCCGAUUGGAUCCGUUAGGUGAGGCAUCAUAGUCGCAUGACGAAAGAGAAUCAGAGGCAGUUACAAAUCGGUAGCAACUUGAUCUGCGCGAUCGACGGACCAGAUAUGUGCUUACGGCGCGACGAUGAGGUGGAUUCGGCCGCAUGCAUGUGGUUGAGUGGACGUCACUGCAUGCAGUAAGGGGGAUCGGAAGGAGAGCGGUGCGUGCAGGGAAGGUCACUCCGACGAUGAAGGAGAAGGAGACCGUUGACGACAGAGGCGGAGAGCGGGAGAUGUGAGACAUGCGGGCCUUUGGAUUCACGGUUUGAGGAACCAAUUUGAGGACUGAAAUUCAUGAGGAUUCACGGAUAUGUUUCAAGCCAGCAAAACUGUAAGAAUAGGGUAUGUUUUCAUUCAGGGACUUUAUAUUUUUAUAAAAUGAUUUCUUGAUUUUGAAAUAAUUAUUUAAAGUUUUGUAGGCUAUUUUCAAAUCAUGUAUUGGUAUAAAGUUUCUAUAAAAACCUGCAUAUGAAUGUUCACUGUAUGUGAAUGACCUUUUGUGAUUGUGUAUAUAUAUUGAUGUUGGUGCAAAUAUGUUUUAUUUAGACAUAUAUCAAUAUGUGCAUGUUGUAUUGUAUAUAUUAUAUGCACUCUGUACUUAUAAAUGGUAUAUGUAUGUGGUGCUUAAUGUAUGCAGAUGAACAUAAGAAUAUUUAUGUAAAACUUAUAUAUCAAUUUAACGUAUUGCAUGUGCUUGAUAUAUGUAUAUUUGUACGUGGCUGGUUGCUUAAUGGAUUGGGUGUGUAUGUAAGUUGGUGUAUGUUUAAGACUAAAUGUAUAAACCGUGUGGAUGUAUAUAUGUUAACAGUUGUAUGUAUAUAUGUAUGGAUUGUAAGAAAAAUAUAUAUACGAAUAAAGUAUGUUAGUUUAUGUACAUGGAAAUAUGUAUAUAUGUCAUUUCGUGUUUUAAUAUAAAGAUAUCUAAAUAGUGUAUAUAAAUGUGUGAGUAUUGUGUAUACGAGUUAUGUGUUGGAAUAUGUAAGCAUUUAGGGUAUAUAUGCAAAUGUGCAUUAGAAUAAGGAUCUAGUUUAGAGGUAUGUGUGAAUUAUAAAUCAGUAAAUAGGUCCUUUAAAAGACAAGGAAACCUGUUUAGCGUGCAUAGGAGAGGGAGGGUGUGCGAGUAGAGAUCUGUGGUCUUACAGUGGAUACGACUUCAGUUAGACAUGGCUAGGAAGUCCCAUACGAAACGUCAUGGUUGGGAAUCUAUUAUCUGUUAUCUAUUAUUUGUUAUCUGGUAGCCAUAGCCCUUUGAGGAAUGCGAGUCUAUUAUCUAUUAUUUGUUUGAUAUCCACAUGUAGAGGGGAUCUCUCUGCCCUCAAUGAUACUAGUAAAAACAUCAUCAUGCGAUGAAACACUAAAAUAAGUAAAAAGAAUGAUGUUUAAAUAACAAAAAAUUGUGCAUAUUUGAAUUUUGUUUGUGGACUUGAUAAAUGCCUAUGUAAUAAUAUUUGUAAUGCUGGAAAGUGUUAUGUGAAUUUGAAUUGGGAAUAUUAAUAAUGUUUGGGAAAUGAUGGUGGGAAUGUGGAAUUGGAUAUGUAAGGUAGAAGAAAUUAUGGAUUGAGUAUGGAAUAUGAGAUCAGUAUCUCUGAGAAUGAAAGGAAUAUGUGAAAUAGUAAAUGGAAAAGGAUGAUAGUAAUUGUUGUUUUUCCAGUAUUAUUUUUACAAAAAUGAUUUUUUUUCUUUUGUGAAAUGGUAAUUGAAAAGGGAUGAUGAUUAUGGUUGUUUUCAAGCUUUCUUUUUUUUUUUUAAACAAAAAUGAUGAUGAUUUUGAUUGUCUUUCAAAUUAGAAUUUUCUUAACCUCAUUUUAUUUGUAUGAACGUUUGUUGCAUCUCUAUGUUAUGGGCACUGCCCCGUUUCUUACUAAAGUAGUGGAAUGUCUCCCCAAAUUUUCAGUCUUUAUAGAUUAAAAAAAGGUUCAAAUCAAUUUUAAGACUGAGUAGGAGACUUUGCAUAUAUUUCUUAGUUUAGUUAUUUUGGAUUGUAGAAAUAGAUCAGAAAUAAAAUAUUGAUUGUAAAGGGCCUGGACAAAGCAUCAUAUAUUGACUUUUGUACAAAUGAUGAAAUGAUUUUGAAUUUUUAUUAGAUUGUUGCGCCAUAGGAGAAUGUUACAGUGUGGUAGUGUUUCCUUCUUCGAGGAGAAGAUGGGACGUUACAUAUAGAUAUCAUUAAGGAUGGAGAGCCAAGUUUCUGCAUCCUUCAGGUUUAUAAUCAUAGAAUCAUAAAUAUGAGACAAACUUAAUUAAAUAAGUACGCUAUAUGAGAGUAAUGUGAUUUAUUCUAAUAAUCACUUCCUUAGUUAAUGUAUUGUAAAACCCAAACAUUUUGCAAAGUAAUUAUUUGAGAAAUUAAUGAAAUAUGCCUGCCCAUUAUAUCACAUAAUUGUAUAUAACCUAUAAUACACUAGGUUGGAUGUGUCCAUAUGUUGAAUUUCAUUUUUUCUUUAUUUCUUUAUGCAAAACUCACAAAAAACAAAUUUCCAUACAGAUUUUCUAUCCAACUAUUCUCAUUUAUUAAAGAUCUCUAGCCUCUUCCAACUCAUGUGACGAAGCCAAAGAUGCUACAAUCCAAUAGCAUAUUAUCUACCAAUUCUAAGGAUACAGAGAUCACCGUAGUACUAUGUAACCCCACAAUUAAGCCACGUGAUUUUAUUUAUAAAAUUUAGAAGAGAGAAAAUGGGAAGAACUUAAAAUAUCAAACUAUUGAAAUUAAUAAAUAAUCUAUUAUUUUGUGAAUUUUAUGCAAAUAAAAGUUGAUUACUAAGAAAAUGAGUUUAAUUAUGGUAAAUUUAUAGACAAAUAAACCCAAGAAAAGUUUAAAAGUUAAAUUUAAACCAUAAACAUAAUAAAUUAGGGGUUUAGGGACCCAAAUGAAAGAAAUAAAAAACUUUAGGGACUUUUGGCAAACUGAAAAGGAGCCUAGGGUCCUAAAGAAAAGAAAAUUUCAAAAUUUGGGGCUUUUUGUAAAUUCAUGAAACUGAGAGAUGUUAGAGUGUGAUAUGUCUCCAGCCCAAUCGGUGUCCAAGCUACGUGGCGGACACACAAGUAGGGUGCACGCGUGGAAGCCAUGCCGGCAAAGAGAGAAGUAUACAGAUCGGAUGGCUCAGAUCGCACGUGGGAGAUCCAGCGGCCGAGAUAUCGCGCAACGGACAACUGAGAUCGCAUCUUGCUUAAAGAAACGACUCAUAGCUAUUCUCGCCUAAAAUUUGAACGAAUUUCCCACCUAAAUGGAAAGAAUGGCAUUUAAAGAUUAGAUGAACAACUUAGUUUGCAUGAUUCCAAUGGCCAAGAUUUAAGGAAACAUAGAAUGUCCAAAAUAAUCUUAAACUUUGUCUCCCCCGAGGGUAGAGAAGAAGCUAACAGGGAAAAAAGGAAGGAGGGGGCAUCGGUCGACUGGGAGUGGCAGAUUCCCAAUCAGCCAAUCGCGUGAGAGAGAGAGAGAGAGAGAGAGAUAAUAGGGCAGAUCUGCGACAGCAGCUGGUGAUCUGUCCAGUUGUGACCAAAUUGGCGUGAUAGUGUUGUUUGACACGGCAGUUGGAACCAAAAGGCCAAAAAAGGAAGAAAAAGAAUCAUCGUGUCGAUCCGAGAGAGAAGAAAGAAACAACAGGUAGAGGAGCGAUCGAGAGACUUCAGCCACGCGUGAAGAAGAUCGGUGCAGAGUGAAUUGAAUAGAGAGAGAGUAGUAGUAGGUGAGCAGGACCAACGUGCAAUGACAAAAAGGGAGUAGAAGGUCGAGUUGAGAGCAUACCGAAGAGGUGAUGACCACCCUUCGGCAGAUGACAUGUUGAAUUACUACCAAAGUUGGUCAAUCCACGAUAUGUCGUUCCCUUCUAAUUAAGUUCGUUUUAUACCUUUAUAAGCCUCUAACUAUGAUACAUCCUUACAGGGAAGUGAAGGAUAUAAUCCUGUUGAGUGAGUUGAGGUCUCGGACCUAGAAUUACAGUUUGAAGAACCAAUUCAAGGGCUAAAAUUGGAAAA